UACGAAGGUGGCAAGCGUUGUUCGGAUUCACUGGGCGUACAGGGCGCGUAGGCGGUUGGAUAAGCCCUCCGUGAAAUCUCCAGGCUUAACCUGGAAAGUGCAGAGGGGACUGUUCAGCUAGAGGAUGGGAGAGGAGCGCGGAAUUCCCGGUGUAGCGGUGAAAUGCGUAGAGAUCGGGAGGAAGGCCGGUGGCGAAGGCGGCGCUCUGGAACAUUUCUGACGCUGAGGCUCGAAAGCGUGGGGAGCAAACAGG
rnacentral:rRNA from 1 species